rnacentral:miRNA from 1 species
AUAUGAAUCACCUGGAGAACUUGAAAACAUGCAGAUUCUGAUUUAUAAGUACAGAGUAAGGCCUGAGAUUCUGCAAGUUCUCAGUUGAUGCAAGU